UACGUGGGUCACAAGCGUUAUCCGAUGUAACUGGGCGUAAAGCGUGUGUAGGUGGUUAAUUAAGUUACUUUUCAAAUCUUCCUGCUCACCAGGAAAAAGGAAGGUAAUACUCAUUAACUAGAGUUAUCUUUAGGGAAACUGGAAUUUAUGGAGGAGUAGUGAAAUGCGUUGAUACCAUAAAGAACACCAGUGGCGAAGGCGAGUUUCUGGAAGAUAACUGACACUGAGACACGAAAGCUAGGGGAGCGAACCGGAUUAGAGACCCGGGUAGUCCUAGCUGUAAACAAUGCUCGCUGGCUGCUCUGCUUUUUAGCGGGGUGGCGAAGUUAACACGUUAAGCGAGCCGCCUGGGAAGUAUAGUCGCAAGACUGAAACUCAAAGGAAUUGGCGGGGAGACACACAACUAGUGGAGCAUGUGGUUUAAUUCGAUACGAAACGAAGAACCUCACCAAGGUUUGACAUACCAGCGUUCUAUUUUGCCGAAAGGCAGAAAAUCCGCAAGGAGGCUGGAAAAGCUGUUGCAUGGCUGUCGUCAGUUCGUUCUGUGAAGAGUGCCCUUAAGUGGGACAACGAACGCAACCUUCAUCCCGAGUUAUAUUUGUCUCGGGAGACUACUUCGACUUUACGUCGGAGAGGAAGAGAAGCAGACGUCAAGUCAGCAUGACGCCUAUGCCUUGGGCUACACACAUGCUACAAUGGGAACUAUAAAGAGUUGCGAACUCGCAAGGGUAAGCGAAUCUCAAAAAGGUUUUCUCAGUGGGGAUUGGGGUCUGCAAUUCGACCCCAUGAACGCGGAAUUAGUAGUAAUCGCGGAUCAGCUAUGCCGCGGUGAAUACGUUCUUGUCUCU
rnacentral:rRNA from 1 species